rnacentral:misc_RNA from 1 species
UUUUGUAGACUGAGUUAUGGCAUUUUUGCCAUAAUUGGUUGGGUGUCCUGAAAUUCAGGAUUUCCAGGUCAGGUUUGGUCCAGGCAGUUUUGUUGGACUAAGUUUGCCUAGCAAUUUGGUUGAGUUAGGAUCAAAACUAGGUCUCCUGAUCUUCAUGAAAAAUGUUCUCCUAUGUUUCAGGUUUCUAUGGGUUCAAGAAUUAGGUCAUUUGGAGCUUCAUAGAGUAAGUUAUACCUAAAUUACUAAACACUGUUCACUGUUCAUAUGGUCAUUCUGUCCAGGUCCAGAAUGCCACAUCUGAAUUCAAGCCAAAUUUAGGGCAAGCUAUGGUUAGUUUUUGGGUGGGAUUUCUUCAUACCAUUUUUAGCAUUAUGUCUAGGGUUUACUCUCCAAUUGGCCUCACAUCAAUUGGAGCUAUGUAGCUUUACUUAUGGCCACAAAAACACACUGGACUUAAGGUCCAGAAUUCCAGCAUACAAGCAACACUUCCAAUUUUUCAGUUCAAUCAACAACCAACUUCAAUUUGCGACCAACACACAUCAAUUGGUCAAUACAUGAACUCAAAUAGUUCAAUUGUGUAACAUAUCAUAAAAUCCCCAAAUUUCCUUUGAACCCUAACCUCCACAAUUCACAUCUCAUGCAAAUCCAUACAACUUCAACUAUAAUUCAUGUAAACAAAUCCAUUUACACUAGAGAAUAUAUUUAUUAUCAUCAAAUCAUCAAAAUCCCCCAUACUCCCAUAGCUGGCCGAAUUCCCAUGCUUUCAUACAUACCUCAAUUCCAUUAAUUUUCAUGCAAUCUCAUCAUAAUUCAACUUAAUUUUUAUUAAAGAAGAAGAAGGUAAAUCUCCCUCUUGCUAAAACUUCACUUUCUCUUCUCCUUUUUGGUACCAAUCACUCUAGUAAGGUGAAAUAUCAAGUUCUAGUAUUGGAAAAUUUGGAAAAUAUGGUGAAAAUUAAAUGGAAAUUGGAGCUUGCAAGAUUGAAAAUGGUGGAAGGAAGGUUAUGGAGGAGUUCGGCCAAGGUGGUUUUGGAGGAAGAAGAAGACCAAAUUUCAAUUAAUGAAAUUUUGUCUUAUGCUCACAUAUUUAUCUUCUUAAAAUUUAAUUAAGUUUUUAAUGAGAUCACCUUUUAGUCAUGCUUAGGUUAUAAUUAGAAUUAAAUUUUCAUUAAUUCCCUUCCAUGUCCUAAUUCAUUUUCUCUAUACAUUUCAUAAAUUUUAAUUCAUUUUCAAUAUCUUGUUCUCACUCAUUUUAAUUGACAUUUAGAUCAAAAUUCAACUCUGUGGGUGAAAUGACCAAAAUGCCCU